rnacentral:tRNA from 1 species
AAUAAGAUGGCUGAGUUAUAGGCGGCCGAUUGUAAAUUUGUAGACAAGUUCCCACUUUCUU